rnacentral:rRNA from 1 species
AUUGAACGCUGGCGGCAUGCCUUACACAUGCAAGUCGAACGGUAACAGGUCUUCGGAUGCUGACGAGUGGCGAACGGGUGAGUAAUACAUCGGAACGUGCCCAGACGUUGGGGAUAACGAGGCGAAAGCUUUGCUAAUACCGCAUACGAUCUAAGGAUGAAAGCAGGGGACCGCAAGGCCUUGUGCGUUUGGAGCGGCCGAUGGCAGAUUAGGUAGUUGGUGGGAUAAAAGCUUACCAAGCCGACGAUCUGUAGCUGGUCUGAGAGGACGACCAGCCACACUGGGACUGAGACACGGCCCAGACUCCUACGGGAGGCAGCAGUGGGGAAUUUUGGACAAUGGGCGAAAGCCUGAUCCAGCAAUGCCGCGUGCAGGAUGAAGGCCUUCGGGUUGUAAACUGCUUUUGUACGGAACGAAAAGGCUCUGGCUAAUACCUGGGGCACAUGACGGUACCGUAAGAAUAAGCACCGGCUAACUACGUG